rnacentral:rRNA from 1 species
AGUGAAGCGGGAUGAGCUCAAAUUUAAAAUCUGGCUGGUUUACUAGUCCGAAUUGUAGUUUAAAGAAGCGUUUUCGGUGGCAGCCUGGGUAUAAAUCCUUUGGAACAGGGUAUCAUAGAGGGUGAGAAUCCCGUCUUUGACUCAGUGCAUGCUACUAUGUGAUACGUUUUCAAAGAGUCGAGUUGUUUGGGAAUGCAGCUCAAAAUGGGUGGUAAAUUUCAUCUAAAGCUAAAUAUUGGCGAGAGACCGAUAGCGAACAAGUACCGUGAGGGAAAGAUGAAAAGAACUUUGAAAAGAGAGUUAAACAGUGCGUGAAAUUGUUGAAAGGGAAACGCUUGACACCAGUCAUGCGAGCGGAAAAUCAGUCUUUUGCAGUGGGGAGUGUGUGUGGGUUCGGACCGCAAGGCCGGCCUGCGCUUCAUCUCUGCUGUAAGUGAUGCACUUUUUCGUUUGCAGGCCAACAUCAGUUUCUUCUGCUGGACAAAACUCUUGAGAAGGUAGCAGCUUAGGCUGUGUUAUAGCUCUUGAGCGAUACAGUGGAGGAGACUGAGGUUUUCGCAGCGCGUGCUUUCGGGCAAGGCUGAUUGGGUGCUAUGGGAUCGUUCGGUGUACAAUGCAUGCAUUUUGCGCCGUGUCUUUUCUAUACUCGCUCAACUCGGCUCUCCGCGCUUAGGAUGUUGGCUUAAUGGUUUUAAUCGACCCGUCUUGA